rnacentral:tRNA from 1 species
GCACCCAUAGCUCAAUUGGAUAGAGUACUUGACUACGAAUCAAGCGGUUGCAGGUUCGACUCCUGCUGGGUGCA